rnacentral:rRNA from 1 species
CGGAGGAUCCAAGCGUUAUCCGGAAUCAUUGGGUUUAAAGGGUCCGUAGGCGGGUUUAUAAGUCAGUGGUGAAAGCCCAUCGCUCAACGAUGGAACGGCCAUUGAUACUGUAGAUCUUGAAUUAUUAGGAAGUAACUAGAAUAUGUAGUGUAGCGGUGAAAUGCUUAGAGAUUACAUGGAAUACCAAUUGCGAAGGCAGGUUACUACUAAUGGAUUGACGCUGAUGGACGAAAGCGUGGGUAGCGAACAGGAUUAGAUACCCUGGUAGUCCACGCCCUAAACGAUGAUUACUCGACAUACGCGAUACACAGUGUGUGUCUGAGCGAAAGCAUUAAGUAAUCCACCUGGGAAGUACGAUCGCAAGAUUG